UAAUACCGCAUACGACCUACGGGUGAAAGCGGGGGAGUCGCAAGACCUCGCGCGACAGGAUGAGCCGAUGUCCGAUUAGCUAGUUGGCGGGGUAAAGGCCCACCAAGGCGACGAUCGGUAGCUGGUCUGAGAGGAUGAUCAGCCACACUGGGACUGAGACACGGCCCAGACUCCUACGGGAGGCAGCAGUGGGGAAUAUUGGACAAUGGGCGCAAGCCUGAUCCAGCCAUGCCGCGUGGGUGAAGAAGGCCUUCGGGUUGUAAAGCCCUUUUGUCCGGGAAGAAAUCGUCUGGGCUAAUACCCCGGGCGGAUGACGGUACCGGAAGAAUAAGCACCGGCUAACUUCGUGC
rnacentral:rRNA from 1 species